CUGGAACCUGCGUAGAGUCACAGGGCCCUGGUUAGCGCUUUCCUGGCCUAGAAGUGUAAAUGUCUGUGUCUGUUGGUGAGACAGAGGACGUGGGCGCCCGCCGAAGCGCCUAGGCGCUGUCCGUAGUGCUGAAAUGGUGCGUGGUGAGACCUGUCUCCCCAACACAAGCUAGAAGACAACAAAAUAGCAGCCAGGAAACGCUCUGAUAAAGCUCUAGAUAGCUGCCAGGUGAUGCCAGAGAUUACUAGUUUUGGGACCAAUUAAAGUAGCAAGAUGCAGCCAGGAGUGGUGGCUCAUGCCUGUAAUCCCAGCACUUUGGGAGGCCGAGG